AGCGAACGCUGGUGGCAGGCUUAACACAUGCAAGUCGAACGGGCACUUCGGUGCUAGUGGCAGACGGGUGAGUAAAGCGUGGGAACGUGCCUUUCGGUUCGGAAUAAUCCCGGGAAAUUUGGACUAAUACCGGCUACGACCUAUGGUGGAAAGUUUUAUCGCCGAAAGAUCGGCCCGCGUCGGAUUAGCUAGUUGGUGAGGUAAAUGCUCACCAAGGCGACGAUCCGUAGCUGUUCUGAUAGGAUGAUCAGCCACAUUGGGACUGAGACACGGACCAAACUCCUACGGGAGGCAGCAGUAGGGAAUCUUGCGCAAUGGGCGAAAGCCUGACGCAGCCAUGCCGCGUGGAUGAUGAAGGUCUUAGGAUUGUAAAAUCCUUUCACCGGUGAAGAUAAUGACUGUAGCCGGAGAAGAAGCCCCGGCUAACUUCGUGCCAGCAGCCGCGGUAACAU
rnacentral:rRNA from 1 species